UGAACUUCACUGGUCCUCUUAUACUUGUAUUUUUUUCAAUAGUAAAUCCUACAGUACUACACAGUCCCUGGUUGGUUGAACCUGUGGAUGUAGAGGAGGAACCUCAGAUAUGGAGGGUCAACUAUAAGUUAUACUUCGAUUAACCCCCAGCAUUAUUCAGGGGUCAACUGUAUUUUUAAAAAUUACUCCUGUGACCAGUUGGGUUUCUGCUAAAAAUACAUGGUUGGUUUAUCAUUAAAAAUCAAUUUAUAUAAUUUAGUAUAUUAACAUAUUGAAGGAAAAACAUCACAUAAUUAUCUUAAUAGAUGCAGAAAAAGGAUUUGAUUUGAAAGAUAUCCAGUAUUUAAAUUCAUGAGUUCAUAAAAAACUGGUCACCAUUGGAGUAUUCUAGUGAACCAAUUUAUUAUUCUGAGAAUUGGUCUAAAAGGAAAGAAUGAAGUAUUUAUCUUGUUUUUAACUAUACCAAUGGGUAACCAAAUAGUAAAUUAGAGGGAAUGUCUCUUUAUAAAAAUAUUUCAGCUAAUAAAUUAAGGAAGAAUAACAAUAUCACCAUUUUAUAACUCCUCAUAAAUUAAUGAAUCUAGGCAUUAAUCAUCAACAGUUGCUAGUAUCUCAAAAAGAAAGACAACCUGAUGACAUGUACCUCCUGAUGGAAGAUCAAAAUACCACUUUGAAGGUGUUUUCCUCCCUCCCCCAUAAAAAUACUGAAUGUGGUUAAGCCUCUAGACCCAAUUACCAAUUUAUAGGAAAUAGAAGAAAACAGAGCAACAUGUUAAACAACAUCACAUGGAGCUCAUUAAAAUGGAGACCAUCAGAAACUUUACUGAACACAUGACAUAGGUUCUUCAACAAAUAAAUUGCAGAGAAAAAGAGAAAGCAGAAGACUUGAUUGAGAGAUACAGCAACCAGUUGUAACAUGUGCCUCUUAUUUGGCUUUUAAAAAUAUAUAUAUAUAUUUAUUUAUUUUUGGCUGCAUUGGCUCUUCGUUGCUGCACGCAGGCUUUCUCAACUUAAUUGAGAGAUACAGCAACCAGUUGUAACAUGUGCCUCUUAUUUGGCUUUUUAAAAAAUAUAUAUAUAUUUAUUUAUUUUUGGUUGCAUUGGGUCUUCGUUGCUGCACGCGGGCUUUCUCUAGUUGCGGCGAGCGGGGGCUACUCUUUGUUGCGGUGCGCGGGCUUCUCAUUGCGGUGGCUUCUCAUUGCAGAGCACGGGCUCUAGGCACGUAGGCUUCAGUAGUUGUGGCACGUGGGCUCAGCAGUUGUGGCGCACGGGCUUAGCUGCUCCGUGGCACGUGGGAUCUUCCCGGACCAGGGCUUGAACCUGUGUCCCCUGCAUUGGUGGGUGGAUUCUUAACCACUGCGCCACCAGGGUAGCCCUCUUAUUUGGCUUUUGAUUCAAACUAAAAAUCAAAAACAUAAUUUAUAACAUUUGAGACAACCUUUAAUGUUCACUUAGUCACAUAGUUCAGACCCAAACCUGUGCCAAGGGAGAUUAAGUACACUUACUGCUCUUGUUCUGCCUAGCUCAGACCAACAGAGGCCAUUAGACAAGCUCAGGAGUCUAAGGGAGGAAUCUGAGGUUUAUGUUAGCUAAGCCCAAGUUGUAGCGUAAGUGGUAAUUGAAAAAAAGCAACAUAAUAGAAAUAAUAGCACCACAACAAUAAAAUGCUUAUAAAGAGCAAGACAUUUGGUAUACCCUUUUUCGGCUUGCAAAAAAAGUAUGUCAUAACAAAUGGAAAUCUGAAAUUUUCAAUAGAGCCAAUGGCACUCCUAUCAGUUUUCGUUUGAAUUGUACAGUGAAACACCAGUACGUUUCCCAAUAAUAUCAGCAUUAUAUGAUUGGUAAAAUGAGAAAAAAAGAAGCACAAUAGUGAUCUGGUGGACUGUUUAAUUCAAAGCAUUACUGAGGCCAGUCUCAGUAGGUAUCCUCCAAAGGAAUCUUAGGAUUCUGGAUAAUUCUAAAACAGCCCUAGGAUAUGGGUUUGGUUUUUAGUUCUUGCAGAGUAAAGGUUAUUUGCUAUUCAGAAACCAGAAUUUCCAUUCCACUUGGGAUUUCUUGGGGUCAUAGUAGUGACCGAGACUUCUGAAGGCUGUACAUCGGAAGCAGCAUGAUUUCCAAGAUAUUCAGACCAAGAAUUGAUCCAUGCCCUUCAGUAUAACCACUGCUGAUUUCAUACCUGGUUGAUCCAUGCCUUUCUGAUGAGAGCUUUGUUCCUUGCCUAGAAAACCCUGACCUUUCCUAAUUGACCAGGCGCUCUAUUGGACCCUCCCAUUCCAAAACACCACCACAAGCAGACCCUGGGUAAGACAAUCUGGAGGGCAUCAUUGGUUUCAUAAAUGCAGGCAAAGUCUUCAGGGACAUUCUUCCACCCCCACACCCCCCAAAAUUAAGCAAGCAAGCAAGUGGAAGUUGGGCCAGAAACCUCCAGAACCAAAGUGUCUGAAAGUUAGGGUAGUUACACCUGAAACUUGAGACUAGAGAAGCCCCAAACAUAGAGGUUCCAGGGCUGCAGCAAGGGAAGCCAGAGCUGUGAGGAGGUGGCUUAGACCAGCGCGCAGUGGGAUGGGGCAGGAUGGUUAUAAAGUCAGAUUUUUAUAGCAACAAUAUAGUGCUUCUGAACAGCAGGGAAGUAGUAUGCUGAAGCUGGGCCUCCUUUCCUCCUGUAAUCCUCGAGAGGGAUGAAGUGCUGUUGAGUCUGGGAUAUAACACUAUUAAAUGUCUAAAUGAAGGAUACAGGAAGAUGAGCAUGGUACUCAGGAAUGAAAGACUGUUUAAAGUGAAGGAAGACAAAUAGUUGCUGAUAUUUUAAAAAUGAAGGCUUCGCUGCCCUGCACGGGGCCGCAACGUCGUCCCGGCCCGGGUGCGACGACUCGAGGGCCAGGGGCGCGUGGCGGCCGCGGGAGCCUCCAGAGCAGGAGCUGAGGUGGCACGAUGCACAGCAGCUGCAGCAGCUCAAGUACCUGGAGUCCUUUUAUGAAAAACCUCCUCCUGGGCUUAUCAAGGAAGAUGAGACUAAGCCAUAAGACUGUAUACCAGAUGUCCCAGGCAAUGAACAUGCCAGGGAGUUUGUGGCCCACGCACCAACCAAAGGACUUUGGAUGCCACUGGGGAAAGAAGUCAAAGUCAUGCAGUGAUACAACAGUUAAAACAGUUACUGGAGGAUUCAACAUCAGAUGAAGAUGGGAGCAGCUCCAGUUCCUCAGAAUGUAAAGAGAAACACAAGAAAAAGAAGAAAGAAAAGCAUAAGAAAAAGAAGAAAAAACGAAAGCAUAAGUCUAAGUCAAAUGAGAGUUCAGACUCAGAAUGACAAGAGCUUGACUUGUUCAACAUUCUCUUCCCCAAAAUCAAACACUGUGACUAAAGAUCAGAGGACUGUGGAAUCAGAGAGGAAUAGGAGAGAGAAAUACCAAGAGAGGAGGAGAUUUGGUGUCACAGGUGUGAAUUCUCACCUACCUUCCAGUAAAGAUGUGACCCCCCAGAAGAGUGAGUUGUAUCUUGCCAGGUGCUAGCUCUGGACAGCGGCUGAUUUCAGGCUGGAAAGCUUUUCUCAUUGUUCUCCUCCCUGCUGAUCACCGUGGGUCCUGAUUCCUUAGAAAUGCCUCUGGCAGGGUGGCCAGACUAAGGGAAUCUCUGAGGAAGCUCCUCCAGGUGCUGCUGCAGCUUCCACCCUCCAUGGUGGGGCUACUUUUAAUGCCCUUAGAUUUCAGGCCUGACUUCCCUCUGUUGCUAAGGAUAAAAGCUCAUUAUUUUAUUUAUU